rnacentral:rRNA from 1 species
UGGGGAAUUUUGGACAAUGGGCGCAAGCCUGAUCCAGCAAUGCCGCGUGCAGGAUGAAGGCCUUCGGGUUGUAAACUGCUUUUGUACGGAGCGAAAAGGUCUGCCCUAAUACGGUGGGCUCAUGACGGUACCGUAAGAAUAAGCACCGGCUAACUACGUGCCAGCAGCCGCGGUAAUACGUAGGGUGCGCGCGUUAAUCGGAAUUACUGGGCGUAAAGCGUGCGCAUGCGGUUAUAUAAGACAGAGGUGAAAUCCCCGGGCUCAACCUGGGAAUUGCCUUUGUGACUGCAUAGCUAGAGUACGGUAGAGGGGGAUGGAAUUCCGCGUGUAGCAGUGAAAUGCGUAGAUAUGCGGAGGAACACCGAUGGCGAAGGCAAUCCCCUGGACCUGUACUGACGCUCAUGCACGAAAGCGUGGGGAGCAAACA